rnacentral:rRNA from 1 species
CCUACGGGAUGCUGCAGUGGGGAAUAUUGGACAAUGGGCGAAAGCCUGAUCCAGCCAUGCCGCGUGUGUGAAGAUGGCCUUCGGGUUGUAAAGCACUUUCAGUGGGGAAGAAAGCCUUGGGGCUAAUACCCUCGAGGAAGGACAUCACCCACAGAAGAAGCACCGGCUAACUCCGUGCCAGCAGCCGCGGUAAUACGGAGGGUGCGAGCGUUAAUCGGAAUUACUGGGCGUAAAGCGCGCGUAGGCGGUCUGAUAAGCCGGUUGUGAAAGCCCCGGGCUCAACCUGGGAACGGCAUCCGGAACUGUCAGGCUAGAGUGCAGGAGAGGAAGGUAGAAUUCGCGGUGUAGCGGUGAAAUGCGUAGAGAUCGGGAGGAAUACCAGUGGCGAAGGCGGCCUUCUGGACUGACACUGACGCUGAGGUGCGAAAGCGUGGGUAGCAAACAGGAUUAGAUACCCUAGUAGUC